rnacentral:rRNA from 1 species
CCUACGGGUGGCAGCAGUGGGGAAUAUUGGACAAUGGGGGGAACCCUGAUCCAGCCAUGCCGCGUGUGUGAAGAAGGCCCUCGGGUUGUAAAGCACUUUCAGUGAGGAAGAACGCCUGGUGGUUAAUACCCAUCAGGAAAGACAUCACUCACAGAAGAAGCACCGGCUAACUCCGUGCCAGCAGCCGCGGUAAUACGGAGGGUGCGAGCGUUAAUCGGAAUUACUGGGCGUAAAGCGCGCGUAGGUGGCUUGAUAAGCCGGUUGUGAAAGCCCCGGGCUCAACCUGGGAACGGCAUCCGGAACUGUCAAGCUAGAGUGCAGGAGAGGAAGGUAGAAUUCCCGGUGUAGCGGUGAAAUGCGUAGAGAUCGGGAGGAAUACCAGUGGCGAAGGCGGCCUUCUGGACUGACACUGACACUGAGGUGCGAAAGCGUGGGUAGCACACAGGAUUAGAUACCCUAGUAGUC